AGAACGAACGCUGGCGGCAUGCCUAAUACAUGCAAGUCGAACGAACUCUUCGGAGUUAGUGGCGCACGGGUGCGUAACGCGUGGGAAUCUGCCCCUUGGUUCGGAAUAACAGUUGGAAACGACUGCUAAUACCGGAUGAUGACGAAAGUCCAAAGAUUUAUCGCCAAGGGAUGAGCCCGCGUAGGAUUAGCUAGUUGUGAGGUAAAGCUCACCAAGGCAACGAUCCUUAGCUGGUCUGAGAGGAUGAUCAGCCACACUGGGACUGAGACACGGCCCAGACUCCGACGGGAGGCAGCAGUAGGGAAUAGUGGACAGUGGACGAAAGCCUGAUCCAGACAAUCGCCGCGUGAGUGAUAGAA
rnacentral:rRNA from 1 species